rnacentral:rRNA from 1 species
AUUGAACGCUGGCGGCAGGCCUAACACAUGCAAGUCGAGCGAGUGGCGGACGGGUGAGUCAUGUCUGGGACACUGCCUUAUGGCGGGGGAUAACUACUGGAAACGGUAGCUAAUACCGCAUACCAUCCGAUUAUACCAGGUGGGAUUAGCUUGUUGGUGGGGUAACGGCUCACCAAGGCGACGAUCCCUAGCUGGUCUGAGAGGAUGACCAGCCACACUGGAACUGAGACACGGGCCAGACUCCUACGGGAGGCAGCAGUGGGGAAUAUUGCACAAUGGGCGCAAGCCUGAUGCAGCCAUGCCGCGUGUAUGAAGAAGGCCUUCGGGUUGUAAAGUACUUUCAGCAGGGAGGCGGUACCCGCAGAAGAAGCACCGGCUAACUCCGUGCCAGCAGCCGCGGUAAUAC